rnacentral:rRNA from 1 species
CGGACGGGUGAGUAAUGUCUGGGAAACUGCCUGAUGGAGGGGGGUAACUACUGGAAACGGUAGCUAAUACCGCAUAACGUCGCAAGACCAAAGAGGGGGACCUUAGGGCCUCUUGCCAUCGGAUGUGCCCAGAUGGGAUUAGCUAGUAGGUGGGGUAACGGCUCACCUAGGCGGCGAUCCCUAGCUGGUCUGAGAGGAUGACCAGCCACACUGGAACUGAGACACGGUCCAG